rnacentral:rRNA from 1 species
CUCGUAGGCGGCACUGUAGGUCAGAAGUAAAAACGCAAGGCUCAACCUUGCGUCGCUUUUGAAACCGCAGAGCUUGAGUAUGGCAGGGGAGAAGGGAAUUCCACGUGUAGCGGUGAAAUGCGCAGAUAUGUGGAGGAACACCAGUGGCGAAGGCGCUUCUCUGGGCCAUUACUGACGCUGAGGAGCGAAAGCGUGGGGAGCGAACA